CUUAGAGUUAGAGAGAGGGGCUCUCAAGCUUAGAGAGAGAGAAGUUCCCGGAGCCACUAUUCACGGCGGCGCCACUGUUCACGGCGCCACUAUUCAUGGUGGCGCACUGUUCACGCGCACUGUUCAUGCCGCCACUGUUCACGGCCAAGAGGAGAAAAAUCCAACCCCAUUUCUAGCCUUCCCAAAAAUAAUUCCUUGGUGUUAACUCACUAUUUGGAGGUCCCUAAGUAGCGUGGAAGCAUUAUUGGAGCGAUCAAACCAUCCAUUUUUGUAAAUCGCAAACCCUAACUUUCUUGUGGAGUAAAGAACAAAGACCUUGGGGAGCCCGAGGCGUAGAUUGGGAUUUACUUUAGAUUGGCUAUCUUGGAGUGCGUACGAGGUACAGACGCACAGUUUGGUGAUCUACCCAUUUAGGACACCCUCUUCUGCUGUUUGGAGUGCUCUUCUCAUUUCAGAGCACACAUUUUGGUAUAUAUAUUCGUUUGCUAUGUAUAUAUGUAUUUGUUCAGGGGCACGGCGGGGCCCUGUCCCGCCAUAUGAUUUGGUUUGUCUGUUUAGAGGUCUGUAGACGUAUUUGUGGGUGUGUGUGCCUACUUCUGUACGGAUGUGUUUGCAUGACUCUAUUCGUUAUGACAGCCUUGUCGGCUCGCACAUGUAUAUGUUGUUCUGUUGGCCCUGUGUGGCCUUUGUUGGUAUUUGCUGUGUACAGGGUUAUUUUGGAUAGUCCGAAAAACAAAGGAAACUCUGCCGAAAUUUUCUUUGAAAAUCUCAUAAAUAUGAAACACCGCCUUGUCGGCUUCUGUUAUA